rnacentral:rRNA from 1 species
AGCAGCCGCGGUAAUUCCAGCUCCAAUAGCGUAUAUUAAAGUUGUUGCAGUUAAAAAGCUCGUAGUUGAAUUUCGGGGUCAGUAGGUCGGUCGUGCCACUGGUAUGAACUGGUUUUACUGAUUCCUCCCUCUUGAAGAACUGUUAUGCCAUUAAUUUGGUGUUGCAGGGAAUCAGGACUGUUACUUUGAAAAAAUUAGAGUGUUUAAAGCAGGCUUUAGCUUGAAUACAUUAGCAUGGAAUAAUGAAAUAGGACGUUUGAUCCUAUUUUGUUGGUUUCUAGGAUUGACGUAAUGAUUAAUAGGGAUAGUUGGGGGCAUUAGUAUUCAAUUGUCAGAGGUGAAAUUCUUGGAUUUAUUGAAGACUAACUACUGCGAAAGCAUUUGCCAAGGAUAUUUUCAUUAAUCAAGAACGAAAGUUAGGGGAUCGAAGACGAUCAGAUACCGUCGUAGUCUUAACCAUAAACUAUGCCGACUAGGGAUCGGAUGAUGUUAAUUUUUUAAUGACUCA